GUGCUCACUUUGGCAACACAUAUACUAAAACUGGAACAAUACAGAGAAGAUUAGCAUGGCCACUGUGCAAGGAUGACAUGCAAAUUCAUGGAGUGUUUCAUAUUUGA
rnacentral:snRNA from 1 species